CUUAGGUGCAAACUUUGUCCAAGAAUUGUUUGCUUGUCAGAGGAGACUUUGAAGACUCAUCUAAAAUCCAAGAGACAUGCCCGAUCUGAAAAGUUACUUAGUGAAGGGAGGCUGAAGCUCGUGCUCAACAGUGAUGGGGAAAUUGAGGAAGAAGAAGAAGAUGGAGAGACUCAUGCAGAGAGGCAUGCUCGAAUUGUAGCUGCUACACAGAAUUCAGCCAACUCAAAGAAGAAAAAUAAAGGACGGCAAAGACAGAGGAAGAGGUUAAAGAAGAAGGAAAAGGGUAAAGAUAAAAAUUUGGAUAAAGCCAAACAAUUAACAAAGAGUCCAGCCAAGAAAAGGCGUAAAAGCAAGAUUUGAAGCAUGUGAUAAGCUUGUUGCAUUCUGUGAUCCAGUCCACCGAAGCAAAAAAUGAAACAAAGAAAUGGCGUGUUUGUUUCUGCUAAGAGAUGGUUGGUAGCACUUGUUUAAUUCUAGAUUUUGUUUUCACCUAGCACAUGCAAACUGGAUUACCUAAUAUGUCAAUUAUGUUAGUUUUGCUUUUUCAACCCUGCCGCGGUUCGUGUUUGUAAUUUUGUGUUGGUAUUGUCCUUUCGUGUUUACAGAGAAUUACAUUUUUGGCAAUACAAUUUUGGCUUUGGCAAAUUGACAAAAAAAUACUCGGUGUAUGUAUUUGAGUUGAUUCUUGGUGAAAAUCUAGCAUAUAUGUUUGAUACUUGUCAAUA